rnacentral:lncRNA from 1 species
GGCCCUCGGCUGGCCUCCUGGCGGUCCCCGGGAGCCCGCCUGCCGCCCCGUGCCUCCCCUCCCGGGCCAGCAGCUCCGGGCCGACAGCAGGGCGCGUGUCCUGACGUGCGCUCGUUCCGGGGAGGGUGGCCUCACCCCGACUCCCCGCCAGACCCGGAACGGCCCCGCGGCCGACCUGCUGCCUGCCCCGACCAAGGCCCCGGGUCCCCGGGUCCCCGGAGCACCGCCACCAGGAGCGGGGACUCCGCGUGGCCCCCGGCGUGGGUAUGGAGCCCUCACGAAGGCCCUCCUUCUCGCCAGCGGGCCUGGGACUUCUCCCCGUGCUGCGCGGAGCCAGAGUCCAGCAGCCUCGGGCCAAGCCGGCAGUCCCUGAGCCCCCGCGGGGGCAGCAGCCAUGGGGGCAGCCAUGUUGGGGCCUCCGAGGCGCGGGAGCAGGGGCCGAGCGGGGCGGGGUGUGUGCGGACCCCCUUUCCCAGGGCAGAUGGGGCCGGGGCCUGUCGGGGCGGCGUGCCCGCGGCCUUAACCAGGGACUCCUGGCUCCUGGACGCGGACGGGCGCGUGGGACCCCCGUCUGGGCUCACCCUAGGCAGGAGCGGUCCGACUAGGCCUCGCCGCCCACCGCGUGGUCAGGAGGAAGUGCUUGAGGGCCACUUCCGGUCAUGUCUUUGGCUACAUCCAAUCAGCUGACCGAAUGCCAACUCUUCACCAAAGACAUUAGGUCUGUGAGCUUCCUGAUAUGAAUUCCGGGUACAUCUCCUUGGCCACUCCUGCUUGAGGCUCCCCAGAAAUGGCUGCUUUAAGGUGAGAAUCUUGUUGGGUUCCCUCUUCUGGGUGGAGCAGCCCAUCGUAUUUCAUUCAGGGAACUUGCAGUGAGUUAGCAGGUCUGCAAUUCCUUCCUUUUCUCACUUGGUACCUCCUCCCACGCCCCAUCAAGGGCCUUAGGAAUCCUGUGGGCAAGUGGAGUGCUCCUUAGCCUGACCAACUUCCCAGGGCUUCUUUUAGCUGACAUCGCUCCAAGUUCCUGGAGUGAAUUUCUAUCAUUAUGUGCAAUUAUUCUGAUACUUGCCAGUCUAUUUUAGUUUGUGCCUUGUACCUUUUAUUCUAUUAAGAUGUUAAAAAAGGCCAGUCCACAUUCAUUGGUAAAUUUUCAAGUGGUUAUUAGCACAGCCUGUGGACUCAUACUGCCACAACCAACCCAUAGUUUAUUGUAGUCCUGAUAUUACCCUUUGGUCCUGGCACUUAGGCUCUGAGGAGCUGCCUCCGUUCCCUUUAUUGAGGCUGUAGAAAUUCAUUGUCUCAGGGAAUUAUUGGAAGAGUCAAGGGCUGAACUGAAAACUUUCCCUCUAGUCAAUCCUGUCAUUGGCCUCUCUUGCAGGCCAGGUACCAUUCUCAAUCCCAGAGCUGGCCUCCACCUGCUCACACAGAGGCUCUAGUUCAAUGCACAAUUAGUAUUCCUCAGGAGCUUUUCAGUUUUGUUGUUUUGUUCUUGUUGAUAUUGGUUUUUUAUUUCUUUUUAAGAUUUUCAGGGUUGAUUUUGAUUAUGGGGAAAAGCAACCUGAGUUGGUGACAUUUUUGUAGCUGUAGGUAAGGCAAUGAAUCUUUAAAUAUGUUAAAGAGAAUUAACAUCUUUAUAAUACUCCCUCAUAUAUGAAUAAACAUAGUAAACUGCUUUUUUCA